CCUACGGGAGGCAGCAGUGAGGAAUAUUGGUCAAUGGGAGAGAUCCUGAACCAGCCAAGCCGCGUGAGGGAAGACGGCCCUAUGGGUUGUAAACCUCUUUUGUCGGAGAACAAAACCCGGGACGAGUCCCGGACUGCGUGUAUCCGACGAAAAAGCAUCGGCUAACUCCGUGCCAGCAGCCGCGGUAAUACGGAGGAUGCGAGCUUUAUCCGGAUUUGUGGGGUUUAAGGGGUGCGUGGGGGGUCUGUUAAGUCAGCGGUAAAAUUGCGGGGCUAAACCCCGUCGAGCCGUUGAAACUGGCAGACUUGAGUUGGCGAGAGGUACGCGGAAUGCGCGGUGUAGCGGUGAAAAGCAUAGAUAUCGCGCAGAACUCCGAUUGCGAAGGCAGCGUACCGGCGCCAGACUGACGCUGAGGUACGAAAGCGUGGGGAUCGAACAGGAUUAGAUACCCGUGUAGUC
rnacentral:rRNA from 1 species